AGAAAAAUGUCAUCGGUAUCGCGGCCUGAAAUUUUUGACUGACUCCGUCGCCAUACGUCCAGUCAGCCAGCCAACUAGUCGGCCCAGUCAGGCAGCUCGACCAGCCAACCAGCCGGCCAGCCGCGCCGCGAACGAUACAUCAUUUAACGAGAGCGGACAAAGCGGCCUGUAAGCGCAGCGCGAAAUCGCCGACGGUCAGGAACGAGGCACAAAGGCGCGGCUUGAAUAUCGUGUACCUACGAGGUCCGUGGCGCGGGUCCGUGACCAGGAGGGGGAGGGGGUGGCCAGUCCACGCUCGAUUAGCCGUGUCUCGCCGGCCGAUGCUCCAAGAGAUUGAAAUGCUGCCGCGCGAGAAGAAUCGCGGGGAUUUAUGUCCCGAUCGAAUCCCUCUCUACCGUCCUCAGCACGGGCCCUCUCCUCUCUACCGGCGACUUCCAGCUUUCUUUCUCUCCGUUCCUAUAUCGCGGAACUACUUUCUUCGAGUGUCUAGAAACUUAUACCUGGGAAGUUCCGAGUUUGGAUUCUUGGAACAACCGUGCACUCUGGCCAGGAGUUGUUAAAGUAUCCAUGAAUGGACACUUGUGACGGCCGCAGUCAGGGAAAGGGAUUGCGGGGACACUCUUCCGCCGAUAUUUAACGAACGUCCGGCUUCUAACGGCGGUGGUACCGUGGUCCAGAUAGCCAGGACCUCUAAAAACAACUUCGAAGGGAUUUCUCCUCCACGUUCUCGAGGACGUUCCCGCGGUAUAGGACUGCCGAGGACAAGGGCUGCCAUCGGAUGAUGACACACAAGAUUCUGAAGAUUGGCUCGUGAAGAUGCUGCGGGAUCGAAGACCCCGGGCUCUACGGAGAUCCUCUACGAUCUACGGACAGCGUUCGCCGAGAAAUGGACGCCAGCCUCGGUUAACAGCCUAAAUAACAGGGGACGCAGAUUCGUUCAUCGAUGCGAAAGAAUUCUAAGAAUUCUAAGUACUGCCCAUCAACGUCGCUCGACCAGUUUUACAAGCCUCGAGGAGACACAUCCUUGUACUUUCGAAAUCGACCUGACCGGAUCGAGGCAGCCGAGCUCUUGCAAAUGGAUUUGCAACCACUCAACCCUAAUUUCGGAGCGCCUUGUACAGCCGAUGCCGGGAAAAGAGAUCGAUCCUCCAGCGACCGAAAAUACCGGGCCGGAGAAAUAAGUUGACGUUAAUCGGCGAGCCAUUCCAGGCCGAUCGAUUCUUCCGCUUCCGGUUGGCUCGAGGAUCCCGCCGCGAUGCUUAGAAAUUGAUGCGCGUUGCCUAAAGAAGAGGAAGAAAAAAAGGAUGCUGGAAAAUGGCGCGUGAUCGAUGCGCGUCCGCGAGGCGCCGCCGCCACUGCUCCGUAUCCUCCGCCAGUCCUGCACUGCCAUUGCCGCCGCCAAAAAUUUCAUCCCCGCAUCCGCGACGCUCUCUGCGCUCCCGCUCAAGUAUUUUUUUUGCCCGGCCGAUCAACGUCCUUUUUUCUUUUCCCGCCAGCACGGCACAGUGGAAAUACCGCAGAGAACGUGGCAGAGAACGGGGGGGGACACAGCGCCGCGAAAACUGUUAUCGAUCACGGGGGCCCCCACGUCCCCGGGAGAAAAGAGAUCUCGGAAGUUGCCGCGUGCUUAGAUAACUUCCAGCGAACUGUUCCAGACCGGGUCCCGAGAUAAUUAUCGCCCCGGCGAGGAGCAGCACGGGGCGAGUUCGCUGUCUUCCAGUUUGUAUAUCAACGAGUCUCUUCGGCUGUGUGUUCGAUCGAUCGGAAACUCGGCUGGCCCCCCGCGUCUUACGUUCCCUCUUCGCCGUUGCCGCCGCCACCCCCCCUCUCGAGUCACGUGUCUCCCCGACAAAAAAGGCCGGCUCCGUUUUCCUUCGAUUUUUUUUUUCUUCGUACAAUGUCGUCGUUCCGGAAGAACGAUGAUGAAACUGGCGAGGAAAGUAGUUUCUCAAGGUGCCACAGCCAGGGGGACCGCACGCAAAACACCUGCGAAGUUACCUGUGUGCUCGGCGCUCCCUGAAAUUGUUCGCGUUCGUAGAACCGGGGCCAUAUAAAAAUAUCUUCCGCGGAGAAACGAACAGUUCUGUCGGCGUCGUAAUCAAAUUAUGGCCCGCGACUUCCGGAAACAAGAUGCAUAGCCCUCGAACGGUUGGAAAGAGGACCGCGUUUGUCGAGACGUCGCACGAUUUUUAUUGAAAAAAAUGGAUCCCGGCGUUCGGAUCCCGAUAGCGUGUCCCACGAUCUCGAUAUGUAAUUGUGAAAUUUUGGAAUUUGAUGUCUCUCAUGCUUCGGAUCGACGUCGAUGAUUACCGGACACCGGAUUCGACGCAGAGAUUGCACGAAUGGAAAAAACAGAGUACUCCGAAAAUAUUCGGAGAAUUCAAGGACACCGUUGCAUCAUUUUCAAUCUAACGUUUUCAUUUAGAUCCAGUUAAUUGAGCUGGCUGAACAACAUUUUGAUUUUAUGCACAAAGAUCCGAUGAUCACAGAAUUUUGAUUAAAAUCGAAA